ACUAUUGAAGAAAUGAUCAAUCCUCCAGCCUUUUGAGGACCAAUGCACUUACUUGAGCAGUUGAAUAGGCCUCAUGAUCGCACGCGGCCACACACGGACUACCUCUGUUAUCUCGUAUAUGUUAUCUGCUCUUCAGAAAUGGUUGAUCCAUUCUUCAUACUAAGGUCAGAAGGGUGUCAUAAACGAUGCGUUUGUAUCUCUUCUCUGGCCAUACUACAGGACCUAGAAAAACAUGCAAACUGGCAGGUGCCCACCAUCCAUGACAGGCAAACCGGAUCCACCUGUUUAAACUCAAAGUGACCUCAGCAACACAUCAUCUAUUAGGUUUCUUAUUAGAGCGUUCCUACAGGAAAUGAAGUGCUGGUGGGGCUUAGCGAUGUGCAGGAGCUGUGUGAUUACCUCAUUACACAGCCAAUUAUGCUGAACUAACCUGCACCAGACUUGAAGUUGCAAGGCGAGACGAGAAAGAGAUGAAAAGUGAGAUGUGAAAUAAAAAAAAGGCAUGUAUUCAUGCAUUAUGAUUACUUUUAACAUUUUAUUCUCCAUCCAUCAAUUUUCUAUCCUGCUUAUCCUGUUGAAGGUCAUUGGGAGCAUGUCAUCUUGGACUCGUGUUGCCACUGUAGUAGUACAGUAUUAUGCCAUGACCUGAAGCCUAAUAAUAUUAUGAUCACUUCGACACUUCGACUUAGACAAUGCAGGCUGCACCUAACUACUGCAGCGACGCCAGAUGGCAAGCCAAUGAGGGUGAAGACGUUUGGGUGGAGACGACUUUGGAUGCACAAAUUGAGGCACAGCAGACCCUUAUCAGAUCCACAAACUGGCAAAUGAUGACAGCUGCUGAGAGUUGAUAAGGGGGCAAAGUAAAUGAUUAAGUAAAAAAGGUUUCACCUUGCAUGGCAUAUGAAGCAUCAACUUUUGCAGAACAAGCAUGAUAUGGAUUCUCCUGUACUCAAUAAAAAAAAACCAAGAUGAGCGCAGAAACUGCGGAGAAAGUUGGGUAUGAGUAUCCUGCAGCCUUCUCUCGUUCCCUUGCUAGCAAAAUCAACUUGGUGUCUUUGCUUCCUUCAUGGAGUGGUGUUUUAUUCUACUCAUGUCAACAAGUGAACCUGACUCACUUUGGUCCAGACCUAUUUCAUGAGUUUCGAUCUAAAUAAAACGUCUUUAAUGGCAAA